CACCAGCCCCUCGAGUGGUGGGGAUGAUUAUUUGGUCUAAAGCGUCCGUAGCCGGCCGUGUAAGUUUCCCGUUAAAUCCAACGUCUCAAGCGUUGGACUGCGGGAAAUACUGCUCGGCUAGAGAGUGGGAGAGGCCAACGGUAUUCUGGGGGUAGGGGCGAAAUCCUUCGAUCCCCGGAGGACCACCAGUGGCGAAGGCUGUUGGCUAGAACACGUCUGACGGUCAGGGACGAAAGCUGGGGUAGCGAACCGGAUUAGAUACCCGGGUAGUCCCAGCCGUAAACGAUGCAUGCUAGGCGUUAGGUUGGCCACGUGCCACCCUAGUGCCGCAGGGAAGCCAUUAAGCAUGCCACCUGGGGAGUACGGCCGCAAGGCUGAAACUUAAAGGAAUUGGCGGGGAGCACCACCAGGCGUGAAGCCUGCGGUUU
rnacentral:rRNA from 1 species